UACGAAGGGUGCAAGCGUUACUCGGAAUUACUGGGCGUAAAGCGUGCGUAGGUGGUGAGUUAAGUCUGUCGUGAAAGCCCCGGGCUCAACCUGGGAAUGGCGAUGGAUACUGGCUCGCUAGAGCGCGGUAGAGGAGAGUGGAAUUCCCGGUGUAGCAGUGAAAUGCGUAGAUAUCUGGAGGAACACCGGUGGCGAAGGCGGCAUCCUGGACCGGCAUUGACGCUGAGGAGCGAAAGCCAGGGGAGCAAACGGG
rnacentral:rRNA from 1 species